rnacentral:rRNA from 1 species
UACGUAGGGUGCAAGCGUUUGUCCGGAAUUAUUGGGCGUAAAGAGCUCGUAGGCGGUCUGUCGCGUCUGCUGUGAAAACUCAGGGCUUAACCCUGGGCUUGCAGUGGGUACGGGCAGACUAGAGUGCGGUAGGGGAGACUGGAAUUCCUGGUGUAGCGGUGAAAUGCGUAGAUAUCUGGAGGAACACCGGUGGCGAAGGCGGCAUCCUGGACCGGCAUUGACGCUGAGGCGCGAAAGCUAGGGGAGCAAACGGG